ACCCGGCUGAACUUGUUGUGGGCGCUUCUCAGAUCUGGGCGCGUUUAGAACUCUCGUAGCUUUAGUUUUAAGUUUACGUGAUCAAUUACCACCACUAUAUAAUCAUUCAAAUCUAACAAUUCUGACCAUCAAAAGGUGUACAAUAGUACCUAU